rnacentral:lncRNA from 1 species
UUUUAAUGAAGCCAGAAUCAAUGUGCUCAAUUCCAGUGAGAACUACAAACAGUGUGUCAUUCAGAAUUCCUGGGUUAUGACCGAGAUGUUCUCUCCUAUAGGUGGGCCUCAGGAGAGAUGUGGAGUCCUCAUCACGGGGUUGCCUGGUGAUUAUGGAAUAAGCGGGGGACUUACAGAGACUCAGCAUUCAGGGGAACCAGGCCACCACAUCCCAGACGUGGCCUCCGGGAGGGCAGUUUCCAGAGAUGAAUUUCCUUCUCCUCCACCACUGCCCAUGGGCUCUGAGGGUGACGGAGAUCCAGUAGGUCACCUCGUCCCUCGUUCCCGGAACACUUGCCAUGUUAUCAGCAUGGCUCCGAAUCCUAUAUCCACCCUCCAGCCACACCCUUGUGACACUUGGAAUCAAAGCCGCCCAGCAUCAGAGCAUGGACGAUCAAGGUGGACUUACCCGCUCAGAAAGAAUGUGGGGCUUCCGUCGAGGGAGACCGCAAUGACCUUCCUUUGAAAAGAAAAAUGUCCUUGCAAGUAGGUAAAUAAAAAAAAAAAAAAAAAAAAGAAAAAGAAAAAG